rnacentral:rRNA from 1 species
GACGAACGCUGGCGGCGUGCUUAACACAUGCAAGUCGAACGGAAAGGCCCUGAUUUUGUGGGGUGCUCGAGUGGCGAACGGGGGAGUAACACGUGAGUAAAAUGCACUUGACUUAGGGAUAACUUCAGGAAAAUGGGGCUAAUACAGGGUAGGAGCUCCUGCUGCGUGGUGGGGGUUGGAAAGUUUCGGCGGUUGGGGAUGGAUUGGAGGCUUAUGAGCUUGUUGGGGGGGUAGGGGCUUACCAGGGGUUUGAAGGGUAGCCGGCCUGAGAGGGUGAACGGCCACAUUGCUCCUGAGAUACGGCGCAGACGCCUACGGGCGGCAGUAGUGGGGAAUAUUGCGGAAUGGGGGGAAGUCUGAUGCAGCAACGUCGCGUGCGUGAUGACGUCUUUCUAGUUGUAAACCGCUUUCGACUGUGACGAAGCGUGAGUGACGGUAAUGGGUAAAAAAGCACCGGCUAACUACGUG